rnacentral:rRNA from 1 species
AUACGUAGGUGGCAAGCGUUGUCCGGAAUUACUGGGUGUAAAGGGCGUGUAGGCGGGAAUGUAAGUCAGAUGUGAAAUCCCAGGGCUUAACCCUGGAGCUGCAUCUGAAACUAUGUUUCUUGAGUGCCGGAGAGGAAAGCGGAAUUCCUAGUGUAGCGGUGAAAUGCGUAGAUAUUAGGAGGAACACCAGUGGCGAAGGCGGCUUUCUGGACGGUAACUGACGCUGAGGCGCGAAAGCGUGGAGAGCAAACAGGAUUAGAUACCCUGGUAGUCCACGCUGUAAACGAUGGAUACUAGGUGUAGGAGGUAUCGACCCCUUCUGUGCCGGAGUUAACACAAUAAGUAUCCCACCUGGGGAGUACGGCCGCAAGGUUGAAACUUAAAGGAAUUGACGGGG